AACUAGACCUCAUUAUCUAUUUUCUGUCCAAUAUUCCCUGUCGCGGUGACAGCCCGGCUGUCGGUGAGUGUCCUGUUUCUCCUUUCCCUCACAUUCUGGUUUCUCCUGUGCCUCCUCUCUCUCUCUGUGUGCUCUCUCCCUCCCUGCUCCGGAGCCCGGCUGGCUACCCACACCUGCACCUCGUUUACCUCCAUCCCCGGCCGCCGCACCUGCCAGCCAUCAGCCUCAUCACUGCCAGUAUAUCUACCCCGGCUUUCCACUCCACCCUCGCUCGAUCGUCGCAGCUCUUGACCUGGUUCACUCACCUCUGCCUCCCAGCUCGGCCAGCCGGGCUCGCUCGCCUGCCUCCUCCUCUCGCCGCCUCCACGACACCCCCCCGGCUUCUCCACUCGCACCCCGCCUGGACCCCCGUCUCCGUGUCCUCACCUACCCGUCUGCCAGCCUCCCCCCUAGCCUCCAGCCUUGUGCCCUCCGUUCCUCCAGCUUCUCGGUUCCCCGAGUCCUCGUCUGCCUCUCCCCCUCCUUCCACCUGCCCUCGCCUCGAGCCUGCUUUUCCUCAAUAAACCUCUCUUUCACCCUCA